AUUGAACGCUGGCGGCAGGCCUAACACAUGCAAGUCGAACGGUAACAGGAAACAGCUUGCUGUUUCGCUGACGAGUGGCGGACGGGUGAGUAAUGUCUGGGAAACUGCCUGAUGGAGGGGGAUAACUACUGGAAACGGUAGCUAAUACCGCAUAACGUCGCAAGACCAAAGAGGGGGACCUUCGGGCCUCUUGCCAUCGGAUGUGCCCAGAUGGGAUUAGCUAGUAGGUGGGGUAACGGCUCACCUAGGCGACGAGCCCUAGCUGGUCUGAGAGGAUGACCAGCCACACUGGAACUGAGACACGGUCCAGACUCCUACGGGAGGCAGCAGUGGGGAAUAUUGCACAAUGGGCGCAAGCCUGAUGCAGCCAUGCCGCGUGUAUGAAGAAGGCCUUCGGGUUGUAAAGUACUUUCAGCGGGGAGGAAGGGAGUAAAGUUAAUACCUUUACUCAUUGACGUUACCCGCAGAAGAAGCACCGGCUAACUCCGUG
rnacentral:rRNA from 1 species